UACGUAGGGGGCAAGCGUUGUCCGGAUUUAUUGGGCGUAAAGAGCGUGUAGGCGGCCAGAUAGGUCCGUUGUGAAAACUGGAGGCUUAACCUCCAGCUGUCGAUGGAAACCAUCUGGCUAGAGUCCGGAAGAGGAGAGUGGAAUUCCUGGGUGUAGCGGUGAAAUGGCGCAGAUAUCAGGAAGAACACCCGUGGCGAAGGCGGCUCUCUGGGACGGUACUGACGCUGAGACGCGAAAGCGUGGGGAGCAAACAGG
rnacentral:rRNA from 1 species